rnacentral:piRNA from 1 species
UAACACGAUGUCCUGGUGUCAGUGGCUCUU